rnacentral:rRNA from 1 species
AUUGAACGCUGGCGGCAGGCCUAACACAUGCAAGUCGAACGGGUGGCGGACGGGUGAGUAAUGUCUGGGAAACUGCCUGAUGGAGGGGGAUGACUACGGGAAACCGUAGCUAAUACCGCAUACCAUCGGAUGUGCCCAGAUGGGAUUAGCUAGUGGGUGGGGUAAAGGCUCACCAAGGCGACGAUCCCUAGCUGGUCUGAGAGGAUGACCAGCCACACUGGAACUGAGACACGGUCCAGACUCCUACGGGAGGCAGCAGUGGGGAAUAUUGGACAAUGGGCGCAAGCCUGAUGCAGCCAUGCCGCGUGUGUGAAGAAGGCUUUCGGGUUGUAAAGCACUGUAAGCGGGGAGGCGUUACCCGCAGAAGAAGCACCGGCUAACUCCGUGCCAGCAGCCGCGGUAAUUC